GAAGGCUUAGGCGGUGACACCGAGCCCAGCCUCCUCCACCCCCAACCCCCACCACGCUCGGGCCCUCCCUCCCUCCCCGCCACCACCGUCUGUCGGCCGGCCGCGGGGAAGGAAGAAAGGCACAGAGGAGGUUGAGGCAUGGAUCCUCAGCCCCCUCCACCCGCCCAGGGCAGCCCACCUCACCGUGGCCGGGGCCGGGGCCGGGGCCGGGGGCGUGGACGAGGCCGAGGUCGAGGCCGGGGCAAGGGAGGCGCUGGAGCCCCUCGAGCGCCCUUGCCCUGCCCCACCUGUGGCCGCCUCUUCCGCUUCCCCUACUACCUCUCACGGCACUGGCUGAGCCACUCGGGCCUCCGACCCCACGCCUGCCCUCUGUGCCCCAAGGCCUUCCGCCGGCCUGCCCACCUCUCCCGCCAUCUGCGUGGCCACGGGCCCCAGCCCCCGCUGCGCUGCGCCGCGUGCCCCCGCACCUUCCCGGAGCCGGCCCAGCUGCGACGCCACCUGGCCCAGGAGCACGCUGGAGGUGAGGUCGAGCUAGCCAUCCAGAGAGCAGCCAAGGAGGCAGCGGAGUCCAGCUGGGGCCCGCAGGACGAGGGCAUCGAGCAGCCCAGCACAGCUGCCGCGGGCACCCCGGAGGAAGCAGCGUGGCCCGAGACGUGGCCUGCAGGGGAGCCGGCUGCGCUGGUGGCCCCCACGAGCACUGAGUCCCGGGAGUCCGAAGAGGAGGAGGCUGAGGCCGGGGCAGCAGAGCUGAGGGCUGAGUUGGCGCUGGCGGCCGGGCGGCAGGAGGAGAAGCAGGUCCUGCUCCAGGCCGACUGGACGCUGCUGUGCCUCCGCUGCCGCGAAGCCUUUGCCACCAAGGGCGAGCUCAAGGCGCACCCAUGCCUGCGCCCUGAGGGCGAGCAGGAGGGCGAAGGGGGACCCCCACCCCGCCCCAAGCGCCACCAGUGCUCCAUCUGCCUCAAGGCCUUCGCCAGGCCCUGGUCGCUGUCCCGCCACCGGCUGGUCCAUUCCACUGACCGCCCCUUCGUGUGCCCGGACUGCGGCCUGGCCUUCCGACUCGCCUCCUACCUCCGCCAGCACCGCCGCGUGCACGGCGCGCUUAGCCUGCUGGCCCCGCUGCCCACGGCGGGCAAGAAGGACGACAAAGCCUCGGGUGGACGGAACUCAGGGAAGGGGCCUGAAGGGGGCGAAGGGGCCGAAUGCGGGGCUGCCCCGGAGGGGGGAGAAGGUGGGCAGAACGGAGGCGAUGUGGCUCCGGCCCGGCCCCCGGCCGGGGAGCCCCGCUUUUGGUGCACAGAGUGCGGCAAAGGUUUCCGGCGCAGGGCGCACCUGCGGCAGCAUGGGGUGACCCACUCGGGGGCGCGCCCCUUCCAGUGCGUACGCUGCCAGCGCGAGUUCAAGCGGUUGGCCGACUUGGCUCGCCAUGCGCAGGUCCACGCGGGGGGCCCGGCCCCGCACCCGUGCCCACAUUGCCCGCGCCGCUUCUCGCGUGCCUACAGCCUCCUGCGCCACCAGCGCUGCCACCGUGCCGAGUUGGAGCGGGCGGCCGCGCUGCAGGCGCUCCAGGCCCAGGCCCCACCGUCGCCCCCACCGCCCCCACCGCCCCCGCCGGCCGGGCAGGAGGACGAAGGGCUGCCCCUGCCCAUCGCACACAUCAAGGAAGAGCCACCCUCCCCGGGGACUCCGCCCCAGUCGCCUGCGGCACCCCCUGUCUUCCUUAGCGCCUCCUGUUUCGACAGCCAAGACCACUCUGCCUUCGAGAUGGAGGAAGACGAGAUUGACAGCAAGGCACACCUGCGCGGAUUGGGCAACCUGGCCUCCUGACCCUCACACCCCACCUCGGCCCCUCCAGUUGCCCUCCCCAUCCUGGUUUGCAAUAUGGAGGAGAGAAGUUAAAGGGGAGGCCCCUCUUCCACCCACCCCACCCCUCCCAGCCCUGACACUAAGGAGGGAGGACCCGGACUGCCCCUCCCUCCCCAUCGCCCACCCCCAGGCCCAGGAUGCUGGUUAGGAACUGCUCACCCGGUACUUCCCAAGGCAGGACCGCUUGGAAAAGGAGGCGCAGGACACUGACCAGAAGGAUGGAGACUGGGGUGCCUCCUGCCGGCUGCCUCCUUUGUACACACUGGACACCAUCACCUCUUUGGAACUGCCAGACCUUGGGGUCCCAGUGAGCAAAGGAUCCCAUCCAGGACGCCACAGGCCUUACGACACACCUCCUGAAUGUCUGCUUUGUGAUCAUUUCUCAGAUUUGCCUUGGUUUUGGGUGACUUUGGCUGUUUUGAGCAGUCCUGGACAAGAAAGACCACACCAGUGAGGCACGCAGCUCGCCACCUCCUCUCAGGGGUACACGUUACCCACGUGACUUGUCACUGAUGAUAUUAACCUUGAUCACCUGGGGGACACUGGCGUGGGGUUUGCAGGUUUUCUGCACCGUAAAGGGGCCCCUCCCCCUCCCAACCCCCACUCUUUGUAAACAAGUCACUAAGUGUAGCCCAUGUGGAGGGGA